AUCAAAUGCAGUUAGAAUUCCAGGUAUUUUUAGUGUUUCCAGCUGAAAGACCUAACUAAUUUCAGGUAUUAGUUAUUUCUAACAGUUCUUAUUUAUUCCCUACGCCACAUCGGGAACUGAAGGCCCUCUCGCUGUUGCCUUGAUAAUUUCUGCUUACGAAUCUUGCCAGUUGAUAUCUACCUUUAUGGAAACAGGGCUGGAGGUCUGCAAGACAAGGAAGGUGGUAUUAGAGAACUGCUUGUCGGAAAGGAUGAUGAGCUUCUUCAGACUGAAACAAGAACCAUAGCCAGGGCUGAUGUCGCAGAAGUGUGCGUUCAGGCAUUGCAGUUCGAGGAGGCAAAAUUCAAGGCAUUUGAUCUGGCCUCAAAGCCUGAGGGAACGGGAACUCCAACGAAGGACUUUAAGGCUCUUUUUUCCCAAGUCACUGCUCGUUUUUGAUGGAUGUAAAUGCGGAUCCAAGAUCUCGUCGUGUUCUCGAGUUCCGAAUCAGAAGUUAACUUAUUGUCGGUGUAGGACUUUUUCGGCAAACUAGCAUAUCAGUUGCAUAUGCUCCUGUUCUUGGAAGCCUCUUUUUAACAAAUUCAAAUGUUAGAAACUCUGGAUUUAAUUGCAUA